UGGGGAAUUUUCCGCAAUGGGCGAAAGCCUGACGGAGCAAGACCGCGUGGGGGAUGAAGGUUUGUGGAUUGUAAACCCCUUUUGACAGGGAAGAAUAACUGACGGUACCUGUCGAAUAAGCCUCGGCUAACUCCGUGCCAGCAGCCGCGGUAAUACGGAGGAGGCAAGCGUUAUCCGGAAUUAUUGGGCGUAAAGCGUCCGUAGGUGGUUAAUCAAGUCUGCUGUCAAAGCGUGCAGCUUAACUGCAUACCGGCAGUGGAAACUGAUUGACUAGAGUGCGGUAGGGGUAGAGGGAAUUCCCAGUGUAGCGGUGAAAUGCGUAGAUAUUGGGAAGAACACCGGUGGCGAAAGCGCUCUACUGGGCCGCAACUGACACUGAUGGACGAAAGCUAGGGGAGCGAAAGGGAUUAGAUACCCCUGUAGUCCUAGCCGUAAACGAUGGAGACUAGGUGUUGGCCGUAUCGACCCGGUCAGUGCCGUAGCUAACGCGUUAAGUUUCCCGCCUGGGGAGUACGCUCG
rnacentral:rRNA from 1 species